rnacentral:rRNA from 1 species
GACGAACGCUGGCGGCGUGCCUAAUACAUGCAAGUCGAACGCGUCUACGUUAAUGAAAUCAAUGUGCUUGCACGGCGAUGGAUUUAACAUUAGACGAGUGGCGAACUGGUGAGUAACACGUGGGUAACCUGCCCUCAAGCAGGGGAUAACACUUGGAAACAGGUGCUAAUACCGUAUAACAACAAAAACCGCAUGGUUUUUGUUUGAAAGAUGGUUUCGGCUAUCACUUGAGGAUGGACCCGCGGCGUAUUAGCUAGUUGGUGAGGUAAUGGCUCACCAAGGCAAUGAUACGUAGCCGACCUGAGAGGGUAAUCGGCCACAUUGGGACUGAGACACGGCCCAAACUCCUACGGGAGGCAGCAGUAGGGAAUCUUCCACAAUGGACGAAAGUCUGAUGGAGCAACGCCGCGUGAGUGAUGAAGGUUUUCGGAUCGUAAAACUCUGUUGUAAGGGAAGAACAAGUGCGUUAGGUAAUGAACGCACCUUGACGGUACCUUAUUAGAAAGCCACGGCUAACUACGUGCCAGCAGCCGCAGUAACAC